UCGACUGCAUAAUUUGUGGUAGUGGGGGA
rnacentral:piRNA from 6 species